rnacentral:rRNA from 1 species
UACGUAGGGGGCAAGCGUUGUCCGGAUUUACUGGGCGUAAAGCGCGCGUAGGCGGAACUUCAAGUCCGGUCUGAAAGCCCCCGGCUCAACCGGGGAGGGUGGCUGGAAACUGGGGUUCUUGAGGGCGAGAGAGGAGGGUGGAAUUCCUGGUGUAGCGGUGAAAUGCGUAGAGAUCAGGAGGAACACCCGGGGCGAAGGCGGCCCUCUGGCUCGACCCUGACGCUGAGGCGCGAAAGUCAGGGGAGCAAACAGG